rnacentral:rRNA from 1 species
CAGCCGUAAACUAUGCUCGCUAGGUGUCAGGCAUGGCGCGACCGCGUCUGGUGCCGCAGGGAAGCCGUGAAGCGAGCCACCUGGGAAGUACGGCCGCAAGGCUGAAACUUAAAGGAAUUGGCGGGGGAGCACAACAACGGGUGGAGCCUGCGGUUUAAUUGGACUCAACGCCGGACAACUCACCGGGAACGACAGCAAUAUGUAGGCCAGGCUGAAGACCUUGCCUGAAUCGCUGAGAGGAGGUGCAUGGCGUAGACGUCU